rnacentral:rRNA from 1 species
UACGGGGGGGGCAAGCGUUGUUCGGAAUUACUGGGCGUAAAGGGCGCGUAGGCUGCGGGGCAAGUCGGGUGUGAAAUCUCAGAGCUCAACUCUGAAACUGCACUCGAUACUGCUUUGCUUGAGGACUGGAGAGGAGAUUGGAAUUCACGGUGUAGCAGUGAAAUGCGUAGAUAUCGUAAGGAAGACCAGUGGCGAAGGCGGGUCUCUGGACAGUUCCUGACGCUGAAGCACGAAGGCCAGGGGAGCAAACGGG